ACGAUUCUUUAUUCACAAACUUCUCAUCUGACCCCAUAUAUUUCCCAUGACAACAGAUUUCUGUUUGGAAUAUAUUUAUUGUCACUGGCCCACCCUUUUGUCAAUCUCAUAAUAGAAUAUACCUUUGAUUCAUUCUCCCUGGCCUUCCCUCUGCUGCAUUGUCCAUGAAUGGAUCGAUCUUGGAUAUUUGCAUGAAUCUCAAAGCAUGUUGACUAUUACCAUCUCAGUGCAUUUGUUCUUUCCUGGAAAAUUUUGAAGUCAUUUCUCACUUGUUCAGACCAAAGAGACUCAAGAAGAGGAAAUGACGAAGAUAUAAGGAGUGCUGUAAAAGACAAAAGAAAAAGAUGACUCCUAACAAGAAAAACAAUAAAGUAAAACUUAUCAGACGUGGAUGCCAACUCUAGUGGUCAUGACAUGCACACGUGGCCUAUCCUCUGUCGUUAAUUGUCUUUCACAAUCUCCAUCUGAUGAUUUCCCUCUCAAUCCUUAUUCGACUUGUAGUUCCCGAAGAAUUUCACUAUCACGACUCUCUCAUUUUGAUUUCUCUCAACUCCCGUCGCCUUAUGAUGCAUGCGAAGGUUUUCACCGGUAGGACUCUCUCAUUAUAUUACUUUUCAGCUGGGGUUGGGGUGUUAUAGAUAAGACUCUCUCAUUUUAUUUCUUUUCUGGGGAUCGAAGUGUUAUUCUCUACUUCUACUUGCCUGACUUUGCAUCCUUUGCAGACUGGUCAAAAGGUCUUUCUUUUGACCGUAAUGUAGGAUUUUGGAUAGGCUAGGAAUAAAGGGUAUUAAAGGCUCAAAGAAAUCAACUUGGGUUCAAAAUUACAACCUUCGGAACUAGAUUUCUUUACAACAAACACAACUUUUGCCCCAAUUUCUUGCUUGUGGAUUUUUUUAUUAUUUUUUGUUACACUAUGACCGAGCUGUUAAGCGCCUACGUAUCCUCUUUGAGGAAUCAGGUCAAACGUAGUUCACCAAAUUCCUACUUGUUCUAGUUUUCCUUUUCACGUAUUUAUUAUUUUCUUUUUCUUUUUCUUUCUCUUUUAUCUCUUUUUUUCUUUUUGUUGGUUUGUUGUCUUUGUGUUUUUUUUUCUUUUUCUUUCUCCUUUUCUUCUUCUUAUCUUUUUGUGUUUCUACUCUUUGCUACUAAUUCCGAAAUAGUGGUAUGAAAGAAAACAAAUAAGGCUCAAAGGGCUAACAAAAGUGUUUAGAUAGCAGAACAAAAUGCCUCUGUCAUUCCAAUAUUCAAAACAUGCCAAGCACAAACAACACGAUUAAACAAAGAUUUGUGACAUCUUUUGAUCUUACUAGUCUUGAUAACUAUAUCCACAUCUUUGCUUUCUUCAUCUUUGAAAUGUAAAGAACCAUUUGGGCAAAAUUUUCACUCUCGUUAUCAUGAACGACCCUUGCUUUUACGGUUUAUGUUUUAUCCGCCCACAGUUUCACAUGGUUUGGACUUCAAAUGAUCUCAAACCGUUUUUUAUUUCCUUAAGUGUCCCGACCAUCUCCCAACGGCUUUAUUAUUAACUUUUAAUUUUAGUACUGGGUUGUGCGUGCAUGUCAUGUCACUAGAAUCAGCGUUGAACAAAAUACAAAAACAAAGGAUAAAAGAACUAAAAGAAAAGGACUGGAGGUAAAAAAACCGGAAUUUGCAUUAGAUAAACGGCGAAUAGUUUGGAUAACAAAACAAGCAAAACAAACCGGAUUAUCAUCCUAGAAUGAAACUGAAGCAAACGUGGACAACACCAAACAAACCACUACGACUAAACAAAUUAGAUAAAAGGAUAAUGGGAUUUGAGUGACAAGACAAUAUCCAGAUUACAACCCCGCAAAUAACCCAGACAACAGAAAUGACAACAAAACAAGCUAAAGAUUCCUUUAUAAGUGAGGAUAAUUUUCAAUUGCCAGGCUUGAUAUUUAGCCAUAAAUUUGCUCAUAAGAAUCAACAGAGCCUUCUCGAAUUUCAACAUCAUUAACUUGAGUUAGCAAGUUCCCGCGGGGAUUCUCAUACUUCAUGUCAUCAGGUAUCAUCCCCACAAAGUGUGCAUUAUGAUUUGCAGGUAAAGGAUUCUGCAUGAUAUUCUGGCUGUCACUGUCUUGGAUCACAAUCAAGUUUUCCUGAAUCUUGUGUUUCCAGCUUGCCAAAAACCGACCACCUCAACUUUCUUCACAAUUCAAAACAGAACAUGUUAGAAUGGACUCAGUCGGCCCUCAUUAUUAACAACAACAUCUUUUUCUUUUUUUCAUUUCAUAAUUUUUUUAGAUAUAGUUGUGGUUGAAUAUUAUGCAGAUUGCCCACGUAUCAUGACUCCGCAUGAAUCAGACAUUGCGUAGUUCGGGCCAAUAAAACAAACUACUUUGAAAACAAAGACAAUUUUUUUCUCUUUUUCAUUUGAAAAUAGAACAAGCUAUUUUUUGAAAGAAAAUUUUUUUUUCCCUUUUUAUUUUAUUUUAUUUGGGAAGUAAAAUAGAACUUUUUUUUUCAUUUUAAAAAAAAAAGAAUUCGGCAGAGUUUUGACACUAUUUUGGCAUUGGUAUUUUUCAAAACAGAUGAUUAACCCUCUACACUGCUAUUUCUCUUCUUUUUUUCUCUUUUCCCCAAUUUUCCGAUAUUCCUGAUUUUCAGAAGCCGAUCAGCAUGCCAAUUUGAAGGAAAUAAAAUGCACAAGCAGUAAGUAGGAUGUAUCAGGAUGGUCUUUUUCAUUUCGGGUACACCUGUCCUAGACACACCCAACCCCUGUGUUGAGUUUCCAAAGUCAAAAUGCACAUGAUGUAAACUAUUUGAUUGUACCGAAAGGCCCAAUGAAUUGGGAUUUCCCUAUUGGUCCAGGUCAUUUCGGGGCAAGCGGAUCAUUUAUGAUGAAGAGGAUGAGCUUCAAGAGAAUGAUUCGGAGUUCUUGCAGAGUGGAACCAUGCAGUACUAAUAGGAAUUCAACCAUUAUGGCUAGGAAAAGUUUGAUUCGGAGGGAGAAGAAGAGGCAAAAAUUGGAACAGAAACAUCAUUCGAUUCGCCGAUCCUCAAAGAAAGAAAUAAGCUUCCUACUAGGGAUCCAGCAUGAGGUUUUGUUAUACUAGGUUUAAAACCUGGGUAUAUUGUUCUAGACCUGGCUUAUCCGAGCGGAUAGCUCGAGCCGAGGGGGAGGCAUCGUACUGGAAUACAGAAACUUCACUGGCUUAGCAACUUGUCCGAACCUCAUACUAAAUUGGUAAUUAGACUCUAUACAGAAAAAAGUCACACGAAGUGCACCCUGCUUCAUGAUUUAGAAGAUUCAGAGACAAAAUGGGUUUCGUCACAGUUUAUAUAUAGUUCACGAAAUAUCAAAGCGGUAAAAGUAGUCAAUUAGCACAUUAGGCACAGAACAUGUAACAAAAUCAGAUAAAUCCAAACACAACAGUUUAUCUAAGCUCGAACGGUGAACCCUGAACAAAAGUUCUGGGUUAAGAUCCCCAGCAGAGUCUCUAGAGCUAUCACACCUCUCUUUUGCCUAUGCCCGCAAGGGCGUAAGGAGAGUUUUCCAAUAAAAGGACAAUCGAAAUGAGAUUUAUUAAAAGAUUCAGAGUCGCCUCUUGGGAGAUUUAUGGUGUUCCAAGUCACCGGUUGAAUCGCAAAUCGAUUAAAAGAAUAACUCUGUAUUACAGUCUGCGAAGCAGAAAUCCGAGUAAGGAAUUCUGUUAACUUGGGAGAAGGUGUUAGCUAUUCCCGAGUUCUGUGGUUCUAGCACGGUCGCUCCACUGUCAUAUUAGGCUUAUUAAUCUGAUUUUAAUACAUGUUGAACCUAGGUGAAAAUUUUAACUUUUUACCGCUUUUAUUAUUAUUAUUAUUUAAAGAAAGUUGAACAUCGUUUAAAAUGCAUAUUUAGACUGCGUCACAUAAAAUGCACCCCCAAUCCUGAACACAUUGUAUUCGACGUUUUGGGAUUUAAUUUGGGUCAUAUGAAAUGCACACCCGAGUUUUGGAAGGUAAUAUUAUUAAAAACCGCUCCUAAAGAGACUACCUUGUUAUUAUUUUGGGGAAGGCCUACUAAAUGGCCCGUCCCGAAAUCUAAGUAUUUAUUAUAACCAUUUAUUGAGUACCCCGCAGUUUGUGUAUUUUAUUUGGCUAGGCUCGUCUCAUUCUUUAUUUAAGGAUAUCCUAAAGCGACUAUGAUUUUUCUAUUUAUUUUGUCGGUAAAAGAAAUAAAACGAAAUCCCUAAUUACUUAAUAUUAUAAUUCGAGCUUCAAAUUCGAGUCCAGAUCCAAACAAAAGGGAGCGCCUUUUAGUUUGAGCCCACUUCCCAACUUGAAACCCACAGUAGGUCAAUUGAAUACUAACAAGCCAAUUGCCGAAAGUGCCCAAACCAUGUAUCACGUAAAUUUUAGACAAAGGUCCCAAUAGCCAAUAGAUAUGGGGGCCGGAAAGCCCAAUUUAGUCAAAACAGAUCAAACCAAAGAGAUCGGAAGAUCGAAUCUCUAAGGCCGCACAAGCCGACCAUUGCUUAACCUUUUGUAUAUCUAAGAUUAUACUAACUUUUCUAAUUUUUGCCGAAUAGCACUAGAGUUAGACAACGUACACUCAUUCAAAUUAAUAACUCCAUUCAUGUCUGAUUAUCAAACAAUCAAUUCGUUUAAGUUGUGAGCUAAUGUUGCCUAGUUGUUCAAACGGGUUAUUGAUAUUGAUUACCAAUCUAUACUAUAAAAACCUUGUUGAAAUAAGGAACUCAGUGAAACAGAAGAGUUGACCUUAAUAACUACUCUGUGGGUAUUAGCUAACAAAGAUGCGAAGCUCGCUUGGCAUAUGUAUUCAAACUAAAAAUUAAACUGGACGUGGCCAUCACACACUGGUAAUCUCAAACUGUUUUCGACUUUUCUCUUAAACAACAGUAAACGCUAAACUACACAUGGGUUAACUACGUGAGAGUUAUUGCUAAACAGUCACUAGUUUAUACAGUCCAGAAAUCCGGUAGAGUACACAUGGAGGCCUGCUUAAAUCCUGCAUUAUACUAUAAUCUCAAACUACACCCAACUAAAUUGCCAAAUCCAUGAAAUACAUCUAAUUAAUCAAACAACUAACUAUUAAACAGUCCAAAUUAGUUCAAGUACAUUUCCAAUUCCUACAAGGUGAGUACAAUUGGAAAGAGUCAAAACAAAUACAAAUUAUCUACUAACUAUACUGCUAAGUUAAUUUGAAUAUAUAAACAUAAAAACGCAAACGGGUUGAAGAUUUCAUUGCAUCAUUUCAAUAUCCAAGUUGUAGCAAUACAUGAUUCAAAUAUGUACCUCGUUUUGAGGAAUAUAAGAAGAAUGAAAAGAGGUCAGCUACAGGCUGAAUAAGCAUCAACGCAUAUCAUAGCAGCAGCAAGACAGCAGUAACACCAAUAGCAUAUUACCAACAGCAAUGGAGUAGUUAAAAAAAAAAAACCAACCCACCACCAAUUCAACCAAAAUGAAAUUGAGAAACAAACAGAAAGAGAGCUUGACCACAACAAUAACAACCAAAGACAGAACAACUGGGCUCGACUAAGAUCAAAAACAGAAUCAGCAGACUUCCAAACAGAUUCAGCAAUCAGAAAAGGUAAGAAUCAGGGCCUGGAAUCGAAAUUUCUGCCUAGAACUCAAUGGAACAGUACCCUUUCUUUUAAAAACUGACAAUGACUUGAAGUCUGAAGAUGCUCUCCUGGAUUGAGUAGAAAGAUAACCUAUGGAAAAACUGACUCCCUCUUUAUGAUAUUAUUUUAAGUGUGACCUUUGAGAACUGAUUCCAAAAGCCCCCUUAACAAUACUCUCUAAGAUUCUUAAAGACUGAUCCCUCUUCUCCCCAAAAUUCAGUCCCCUUUCAAACUCUCUUAACCCCUGUAUUUAUAUCAAAUACAGUCCCCCCCCCCCCCCCCCCNNNNNNNNNNNNNNNNNNNNNNNNNNNNNNNNNNNNNNNNNNNNNNNNNNNNNNNNNNNNNNNNNNNNNNNNNNNNNNNNNNNNNNNNNNNNNNNNNNNNNNNNNNNNNNNNNNNNNNNNNNNNNNNNNNNNNNNNNNNNNNNNNNNNNNNNNNNNNNNNNNNNNNNNNNNNNNNNNNNNNNNNNNNNNNNNNNNNNNNNNNNNNNNNNNNNNNNNNNNNNNNNNNNNNNNNNNNNNNNNNNNNNNNNNNNNNNNNNNNNNNNNNNNNNNNNNCCCCCCCCCCCCCCCCCCCCUCUAGUUCUUAUGAGAACUUAGCCAAUUAAAAAAUUCAUUGUCCCAUCAUAUUGCCUGAAGACUACUACUGCCUGUCCCUUUCUAUUAUGUUAAUUCAAAAAUUUAUGGGCAGCCUAAAUUGAAAAUUCAGGCGUGCCCGACAGCCCUUGUUGCUUCCAAUUUGUCCGAAUCAUUUUUUUAAUUCAGUGCUUUAUCUUAAUUUUAUUAAUCAACAAAUCCUAAUUGACUAACAAACAUGGUACAGAUUCAAAUAACAGCUAACAACAAACCACAAUUACACAAAAUUCAAAUGACUAACCAAUUCAGUGUGAUAACCGACUCAGCAUUUCAACUUAUUGCGAUGAACUAAUCUCUAAUUUUAUUCAACGUAUAAACAAAUUAGAAACGAAGCAGGAGGAGAAGAAGAUUGGGAAUUAAACGAAAACCAAAAUAUAACUGAAAGUAAAGGGAAUUGAAAAUACCCGGAUAUCAGGCGGACCAAACAGUGGAAUUACUCAUCAUCCUUUUGAUUUGGAUCGUAACAGACCUUAAUGAUGUGUUUCCAAUAUGAAAACAUACGACUAAGGUCGAAUUAUGGUCUAAAGCUCCUCACCGUUCCCAUUGGCUUUUGAGUUAAAGUUAGGGAUCAGUUUUCGUGAUUUCAAAUUUGAGACUCUAGGCCCACAUUCAAAGGAAGCCAGGUGUGGAUUUGGGGUGAGGGAGUCAAGUAGGUCAUUGGGUGUUAGUUUGGGAAGGUUUGGAGGUGGUGCCGUCAUCGGGGAUUUUAGAGUGGCGCUAGGAUUCCUCCCUUUGAAGGGAUAUUCAAGGGGAUUGGCUUGGAUUCGAGGAAAAGUGUUUGGAUAAUCGGAAUGGGGAGGUCGAGGAGCUAUGGUGUAAAAUUUGGAGGGUUUGGGCCACCGGAACCGCCGUGAGGCGAUUUCUGGUGGGCGGACCACGGUGGAGUCUAGGCGGAGAGUUUGUUUGGUCUCUGAGGUUAGAGACAGAGAGGUCAACGGUUGGGUUUGGCUUGG
rnacentral:lncRNA from 1 species